rnacentral:rRNA from 1 species
GCUAGCAGCCAUAUCAUCCUGUAACUGGCAAACAACUGAAGUUCAGCAGGUAUGAGCCUGGUUAGUACCUGGAGGGGAGACCUCCUGAGAGAAACUAAGGUUGCUGCUGGUA